AACAUCGCCUCUUGCUUAAGAGGUCACGCCUGCCCUGUGACUUUAACGGCCGCGGUAUUUUGACCGUGCAAAGGUAGCGCAAUCACUUGUCCUUUAAAUGUGGACCUGUAUGAAUGGCAUAACGAGGGCUUAGCUGUCUCCUUUCUCAAGUCAAUGAACUUGAUCUCCCCGUGCAGAAGCGGGGAUAAAACCAUAAGACGAGAAGACCCUAUGGAGCUUUAGAACAGCUAACCCCUAGACUGUCUUUGGUUGGGGCGACCGCGGGGAACAAAAACCCCCAUGUGGAAUAUUUAAAACCAAGAGUCACCACUCUAGGAUACAGAACAUCUGACCGAUCCGGCACCGAUUAACGAACCGAGUUACCCUAGGGAUAACAGCGCAAUCCUCUUUUAGAGUCCAUAUCGACAAGAGGGUUUACGACCUCGAUGUUGGAUCAGGACAUCCUAUCCGCUAUUAAA
rnacentral:rRNA from 1 species